rnacentral:lncRNA from 1 species
AGACGACGUAGUUCUUGUGCUCUUCCCGCCUCGCCUUUCUUUUCUUGGUUUCAAUCCUUGGUGUUGCAAGCCAAUUCCCGGGUCUUGUUAGGCGGGAAACACAGACUGCAUUACCCAUGUUUGAAACUGGAUUUGCGCGUUUGGGAAGCAAGAAUGGGGUUACUCUGCUGGAAAAGCUUGACAUUGCAAAUAAGGGAUUUUUACCCUACGUUCCCACUAAGUAUCUGGUACGCGGAAGAGAGGGACAAGGAAGCACAGAAGCUCAGAACAGUUCGUUGUUCACCUCGUCUUUCUACCACAUAAUUCUGCCUCUAGAAAUACAGGAGAAAGAGUAGCCACGCAAAGCUUCUAGGAACUCCUGGGAGAAGCAUUCAUAAACUCUUAUUGCUGCCAGUUCAUCUUGGGGCCUUUCGGUGUGAAGAAAUGGAUCCUUAUCAAAUACUUUUGUGAAAGAACAUUUACAUCCUGCUUUAUUCCAGAAGAAAAGAUUUAAGGUAGCUUAUUACAUAUAUACAGUAUGACAAAAAUAAGUACAUAGAAAAACAGGACAAAAGAAAACUGAAAGUGGAAAAAAUAAGAUAAAGCCAGCAGUUCUGUAUGCAAAAUGCAUGGUAUGAGGUCCUAUUGGUUUGCUGGAGAUAGGUCACAAAUAUGAGUCUAAGCUUUCUAGCAACCGGGGAAAAUUGCAAGUGGAGUAAAUGUUCUGGGUGAGCUGGAACUGGAACAAAUAGACCAGCUUGUGGAGUUGGAUGCCACUUUCCCAGAUCUCUUCCAUGAGCCUCUUAAAGGGUAACAGAAUGCUUGGAGCAGUUAUAGAUAUCUGCUUAUCUUCCAGUUUUCAUGGAGCCCAUGAAUCCCACGAAAACAAACUUUGAGCCUCGUCUACAAUUAGUGUUCAAAUAUAUGCAGAUAGAUUUGAUGGACCAGGGACACCCAAAGGAAAUUGGAUUGCAAAGAGAGAAAGUAAGCAUCUUAGGGAAGGUCACCGCAAGGAGAGUAGGGCAAAGACAGAAGCCAGUCUCAGUGGAGUUCUGGGAGUCAGAAGGUCUUGGAGCGUGGUUCUGAGUACUGCCCGGUACUGCCCGCAGAUGAAGAUGUCCCUUCACCCCCACCCCACCAGCUUUUCUAGUGCCUUAGAAUCCUGGGUAAGAAGGGACUAUUAUAAAAAUGAAAGAGCUAUAUCACUAGCGGCCAACCAACUUUCCUGUGGAAUCUCUCUCCAAAAAAAAUGAUGUGUGAUUUCAGAAGCAGACUUAUUCAGAUUUUGAAGUUUAACUAGUGCAUAUAUUACAUAUUACCUAACACCCCAGCAGCUUCUGGGACCACUCACUAUAAACUGAAACAUUAAUUUUUUUUUUAAAUCAUAAUAACUAUCCAUGUCAUGUAAGGUACAUAAAGACUACAUUAUGCCUCAUAUCAGGUCAGGUUAGAGUUGCCAUUUAAGUAGCCUUUUUUUUUCCCAGAAUAAAAUGUAUUUAUUGAAGGAAAUUUAGAAAACAAAAAUAUAAAAAUCACCUAUAAUUUCACCAGACGUAGAUCACCACUUUUCCAUUUUAUUUCUGAAUAUAUACUUAGGUAUAAUUUAAUAUAUAAUGUUAUAAAUAUUAUAAUGUAUAUAAUAUUAGAGAGAGAGAGAGAUUUCCCCUGCUAUCUGAACGUAGAACAUUCCUAUGAAGCCUCUUAUGAGCCAAAAUGUUAUAAAGCAAAAAAGCAAUUAUCCUAGGACACAUCUUGCUAACAGAUGAACAAAAUAAAUUGAGAUAAAGUACAGAUGCUCACAGACACAGUUCAAAGUUAUGGCAGCAUGAGGAUGCUGAGUGUAGUUGAGAUGCUGAGUGUGUUUCCUAGGGAAGGAACUUGGGGGUGCUUGGUGUAUGUGCUGCGUCUGUAACAGCUUGCUGUAGGACUAAUGCUAAACACUAUAUUUUUGCUCUUUACCUUUUUUUUUUUUCCCAAAAAUGAAAAUCCUUUUUGGAUUUCUUUCGGUUAGCAGACAAAGGUACUCAUGUAGAUCUUUCAUAAAAGUGAAAUUGCAUAGAGCAAACUUUCUAAAAGCGAGGGAUAGCUAUAUACCUAUUUUAUAAAAUCAGCAUCACGCUUCAGUUCCAUUUCAUCCUACUGUGCUAAGUAUUUUUGGUGUCACAUUUAUAUGAAUCUCAGUUUUCAAAGCUUAUUUAGAACUUAAAAUGUGGGUAAGAGAUUGAGGACAGAGGAAGAGGUAAGAGGUGGAGAUCUGGAGGCUGGAGGAGACGGUCCUCCAGGCAGCAGCAGCAGUAGAGGUGGUUGGAGCCCCAUGAGGUUCAAGGGUGGGUGGGUGCCAAGGAGAGAGAAGCCUCACUUGGCAGAUACUAACACUGAGGAAGCUCUUGGCCUGAGUGUGAGCAGUGGCCCGUGGGCAGAGUCAGAGAGGUCAUAGGUUAGGGAAAUCAGCAGCUUGGAAGCAGAGACAUGAGAAGGGUACCAGUCUUGUAGGAGGUAUGGUUUAGACCACUGCCAACAAGCGGUGGGUAGCAGUUCUACAGAGCACCUGAGUCUGGUUACCAGCAGACUUCAGAGCAAGGGACUAGCAGAGAGUGGUUCUGAUUACAUGUAGGAAACUGCUUCCCACUCUUUCUGAACAUGUGGCAAGACUUAAGAAAAGGAUCAGGCUAAGUAGGGUCCUGCUCCUGGUGAGACCAAGAUUAUAAAUCUAGCAGACUAAAGAGCAAACUCUUAGCUAGACCUCCAACUCAGUAGGGCAUUAGACAGUGAUGUGUGGGAGUCAGCUUGUAAUGGCUCAUGAGAGCCAGUUGUUAAACUUUCAGAAAUCUUGCAAGCCAGUUAUUAAACAGAGUCAUUAUUUAAUUUGGAUUCCUUUUCUUUCUUUUUUUCUUUUUCCCUUUUCUAGGGCCACUCCCACAGCAUAUGGAGGUUCCCAGGCUAGGGGUCUAAUCGGAGCUAUAACCGCCGGCCUACGCCAGAACCACAGCAACAUGGGAUCUGAGCCGCAUCUGUGACCUACACCACAGCUCAUGGCAAUGCCGGAUCCUUAACCCACUGAGCUAGGCCAGGGAUCGAACCCGCAACCUCAUGGUCCUUAGUAGGAUUUGUUAACCACUGCGCCAUGAUGGGAACUCCCUCCUUUUAUUUCUUUUACUUCUCUGAUUGCCAUAACUAGGACUUCAAAAACUAUAUAGAAUAAAAGUGGUGAGAGUGGACAUCCUUGUCUUGUUCUGAUCUUAAUGGAAAUGGUUUUGGCAUUUUAUCAUUAAGAAUGAUGUUAGCUGUAGCUUUGUAAUAUAUGGACUUUAUAAUGAGGUAGGUUCCCUCCAUGUCCACUUUCUGGAGAGUUUUUAUUCCUAAAUGGGUGUUGGAUUUUGUCAAAAGCUUUUUCUGCAUUUGUUGAGAUGACCAUAUAGCUUUUAGUGUUCAGUUCGUUAGUGUGAUGUAUCAGAUUGAUUGAUAAAAAUAUGGAAUGCUUCACGAGUUUGUGUGCAAUCCUUGCUCAGGGGCCUUGCUAAUUUCUCUUUAUUGUUCCAAUUUUAGUGUAGGCUGCUGAAGCAAGACCAGAGUCAUUAUUUUAAAACUAAGUUAGGAGUUGCUUUGUGGCUCAGCAGUUAACGAACCUGACUAGUAUCCAUGAGGAUGUGGGUUUGAUCCCUGGCCUCCUCAGUGGGUUAAGGCUCCAGUGUUGCCUUGAUCUGUGGUGUAGGUAGCAGAUGUGGCUCAGAUCCCAAGUUGCUGUGGUUGUGGUGUAGGUUGACAGCUACAGCUCUGAUUCAACUCCUAGCCUGGAAACCUUCAUUUGCUGUGAGUGCACCCCCCAAAAAAAAGACCAAAUAAAUAAAAAAAACUAAGUUAUAUAGACUCACAAAUAAAUUAUAACAAAAACAAAGAUGGUGAUUACUUAAGACUCAUCACAUUCUAUAUAUGUUGCUACAUCUUACUGUUAUGUGUGAUCCAGAGGUUGUUCACAUGUAUCUGCGUGGUGGAAAUACUGUUGAAAUGCUACUAUGCUUUUGUUUCUAACUCUACAUUCAGUGACAUUACAUUGGCCAUGGUGGGAGUAUUUACAUCAAGGAAAUUAGUGCAUGCGACACAUCUAUAGCUUUUUCCACCAGAAAGCUCUUUGUUAAACAUUUACCAGCAGAGUUCUCGCUGGGGUGCAGUGGGUUAAGAAUCUGACUGUAGAGGCUCUGGUCACUGCAAAGGCAAGGGUUAGAGCCCCAGCCUGGUGCAGUGGGUUAAAGGAUCUGGUAUUGCCACAACUGCUGCAUAGAUCACAGCUGGGGCUUGCUUGGAUUCAGUCCCUGAUCUGGGAAUGUCCACAUGUUACAGGUACAGCAAUUAAUUUUUUUUUUUUAAUUAGCACAACACCAGGCUUAGAUAUAACAUGCAUGUUAAUAUCCUUGGGUAAUUUCAGAAAUGUCUGCAGGAAAUUGGACUUCCUGAUUGUAAAAGACUUGGGGAAUCAUGAUUUGGGAUCUUAAUAAAAUCAUGAUCUUUUUUUUUUUUUUUUGGAUUUUCAGGGCCGCAUUUGUACCAUAUGGAGGUCUCCAGGCUAGGGGUCUAAUCAGAGCUGUGGCCACUGGCCUACACCACAGCUCACAGCAACCCUGGACCCUUAACCCCCUGAGAGAGGCCAGGGCUUGAACCUGCCACCUCAUGGCUCCUAGACGGAUUUGUUUCCACUGCGCCAUGAUGGGAAUUCCAAAAUCAUGAUCUUACUUAUACUUACCUGAUAGGAAAUGCCUGGGACAGAUUAGUGCUUAGAGAAAACCAACUAUGACCAUGCUGAGACCAGAGAGAUAUGUCUAUGGAUUGUCCUCAAAGAAGGCACUUUGGAACACAGUGAACAGCAGCCUCAUGAUUCUUUUUUUUUUUUUUUUUUUUUUUUUUUUUUUUUUUCCAUUUCUUGGGCCGCCCCCUUGGCAUAUGGAGGUUCCCAGGCUAGGGGUCUGAUCGGAGCUGUAGCGGCCAGCCUAUGCCAGAGCCACAGCAACGCAGGAUCCAAGCCGCCUCUGUGGCCUACACCACAGCUCAUGGCAACGCCGGAUCCUUAACCCCACUGAGCAAGGGCAGGGACCGAACCCGCAACCUCAUGGUUCCUAGUCGGAUUCGUUAACCACUGCGCCACAACAGGAACUCCAGCCUCAUGAUUCUUUUUAGAAAAUACAGCACAGACUUUCAUAGGGAUGUUUGAUAUGCCUCUUGAUAUUGGCCAAUAGCCAAUAUGAUAUGAAAGCGAGUAGGUUUAGACAGUAAAAUGUGGAGGUUGUAAUAGUAAUAUACACCUCUUUGCUGCCUUGACUCAUCCAAGAUAGCUUAUAAAUGAAUGAAUCGACAUUCAUCAGGCUGUCCUUCCAUAAAUAUGAUUCCUCUUAAUCAAGUCUUUAAUAUGUCUUAAAUGGCAGUAAGUUCUAAAUUUUACUAGCUAUACCUCAAGGGCAGACAUUGUCUAGAUCAAAUGUCACAGGCUUUUGUAGUCAGCUUGAUUCAACAAAGUUGAGAAACCAGACACGGACAUACGCAGCAGUAAGAGGCCACCCCUGACAAUACAGAGCCAGACCUCAGCCAACACCUAGGCAGGGCCAAGAAUUUUCCUUAGGAUUUAGCUCUGAUUUCAUUUCAAUGCAUGUAUGAGAGAAGAAUGAAACGCCAGAGUUACCAGCUAAGUCAUAUGGCCUGUCCUCAGUUAUUUUAGCCCCCCAUUAUAAAGCCAGGUGUAAUUAAAUGCCCCUUCUUCUGCCCUUGGCCAACAACCUCCCGCUU